UGGCUAUCAUGUGUUGGAAGAUACCCUAAACUUAACCUAACAUAACCUAUCAAAACCCCAAACAGUCAUUAUAGGUCUUGACUCAGAAAACUCAUAUAUGCUUCCUUACUAAUGAGACUUUCCAUACAACAAAGUGAGGUCAUUCUGUGUUGAUUUAGACCAUAAGGGGCUGGCUAUCAUGUGUUGGAAGAUACCCUAAACUUAACCUAACAUAACCUAACAAAACC